GCACAGGCCGCCUACGAGGAAGCUGCGCAGGAGCAGCUGUGGCGAUCGGCACCCGCCGCCGGGCAGGACCGCCCUGCGACGGACAGCACCGCCCUGCGGCGGACAGCUGCCCCACCUUCUGUCCCUGCUUCCAGCUCAGGGCCAGCAGGCGGCACGGCUCCUGAGACAGUGGGUGCUCAGUGAAUGUGUCUGACCAGAUGGAUGAAGACAGCCUCGGGUUAGUCGCCCAGCUACCCUCCUGGUCAUAAGAAGAAGAUGCAGGAACCUCCUCUGCGCCCGUGACCUCCUGGCCUGUCCAGUCCCUCGGCUCUGCAGCCUGCGGGGUCCCCUCCCCGGGCUCCUGUCAGGAGCCCGACGUGGUGGUCAGCGGGCAGAGCUGGGGCCCGUUUUCAACACCUUUCGUGUACUCCUCCCGGCAGACCCUGAGGCAUAAACAACCUCACUCUAUAAGAGGAAGCAAACCCAGGGAGGUUACGGAGACGCCUGGGGCCUCCUAAUAGCUAACUGUGGCCCAGCGGGGCCUGAACCCUGGGCUGUGUCCUUCUGCUGAAUUUGUGGGGAAGCAAAGGCACCUGGGCCCCAGGCAGAUGGGAAGACACGGCACCUACAGUCAUAUUUAUUUACUGUAAACCUGCCCGAGAGUAAAUGCAAGAGCACCGGAGAGGAAGUAGCUUCAGGCCUUGGGCAGACAGGUGUGUGUGUGUGUGUGUGUGUGUUGUGUGUGUGUGUGUGCGUGUGCGUGUGUUGUGUGUGUGUGUGCGUGUGUGUGUGUGUGUCUGCAAGGCUGGGGAGAGACCAAGACAGACGGAGAGAGACAGACAGAUAGAGAGAGGAUCAAAGAGAAGGAGACAGAGAGAGAGAGAGAGAGAGAGAGAGAGAGAGAGAGAGAGGGAGGGAGGGACACUGACUGAUGACUGAUUUGACAUCUCAUCACUGAGGGCUCUCUGUCCGCAGAUGCUGCGGUUGCAUUUUGCGUGGAGUCUGCAUGGGUUUUAUGGUUAGUUUGCUCCGUUAGUCUGCCGGUUGCACAGACAGGCCCGGCAUCUUCUGGGCGGGGACGCAUUCCUGUCUGGUUGUGCUUUGGAACCUGAAUCAUGAGGAAAUGGAGCCUGGCUUCUGAGAAAGAUAAACACUGUCAGAAAUCCCCAGGGGCCCGAACCCACUGCAUCCCCUUCAGCACUGAUCUCACAUGAUCUUGGCCAGAGACACAGCCUCAGGGUCCGCUCCUGUGACACAAGGACGGGGGCCCUGCUGAGGACGGGGGCCCUGCUGAGGACGAAGGAAGUCUGCAGUUUCCAAAUACGGCAUUCAAAGCCCCUGAAUUGAGAAAAACUCCAACAGACGCAAGAGAUAAUGUCAAACAGAGCAGGACACACUCCAUAAAGGGAGCUUCACGGCCAUUUCUCUGGGGUGGCCGGCAAGGGACACAGACUGUGGACACUGCUGGGACCGAGGCGGGGCCAGAAGCCUAGCUCUGGAUCCUCUCCCAGGACGCUCGCCUGCUCAGCGGCCCUGGCAAAUGCUGGGUUCCCAUCGCCUCUUGUGCCACACGGUUGAGAUUUAGACCAUUAAAGAAAAUACCCUGUGUAC